GUCCUUGGCUUGGAAUGCAACAUUCUGGUCCUUGGCUUGGAAUGCAACAUUCUGGUCCUUGGCUUGGAAUGCAACAUUCUGGUCCUUGGCUUGAAUGUUGCAUUCUGGUACUUGGCUUGGAAUGCAACAUUCUGGUACUUGGCUUGGAAUGCAACAUUCUGGUACUUGGCUUGGAAUGCAACAUUCUGGUACUUGGCUUGGAAUGCAACAUUCUGGUACUUGGCUUGGAAUGCAACAUUCUGGUACUUGGCUUGGAAUGCAACAUUCUGGUACUUGGCUUGGAAUGCAACAUUCUGGUACUUGGCUUGGAAUGCAACAUUCUGGUACUUGGCUUGGAAUGCAACAUUCUGGUACUUGGCUUGGAAUGCAACAUUCUGGUACUUGGUUUGGCCCGCAACAUUCUGGUCCUUGGCUUGGAAUGCAACAUUCUGGUCCUUGGCUUGGAAUGCAACAUUCUGGUCCUUGGCUUGGAAUGCAACAUUCUGGUCCUUGGCUUGGAAUGCAACAUUCUGGUCCUUGGUUUGGCCAGCAACAUUCUGUUCAUUUGAGGAAGCCCUCAGGGAGGUUGAGCCACUCUGCUACUUGGUGAUAAAAAGGUCUCGUAAUGUUGAUCCCGAGGAGUUGCGUAUUUGCACUUCAAAUGGAGCAAGUUUUUCACUAAGUACUUGGGUAUCUGGAAUGAUGAUGAAUUGUCUUUUGAAACACACAUUGAAAACUUUACAAAGAAGCUGAAAUCUAUUAUUUUUUAUUAUAUAGAAAUAAAUCCUGCCUCUGUUUAAACAACGCUGCUCCCUGUAACAGACUAUGGUGACAUUUAUAUGCACGCGGCAGCCUCUGUUUUGAAACCAUUGGACUCAGUAUUCAAUUCAGCAAUACAUUUUAUCACUGGGGACAGUUUUAGGACUCAUUGUCUUAUUUACAAACAUGUGGGAUGGACCUCUGUAAGAAGAGAGCUGCACUCUUCUUUACUUACAUAGCAGUCUUGCAGAAACUUCCUCUGUACAUUACUUUAUUGAUUCAAUUUAGACGUACAAAUUACCAAACCCGUUCUCAGGGAUGGAUAACUCCGGAGAUCCCUUUAGUCGCCACAGAAUUAGGAAAAUCUGCUUUUAGUUUUGCCCCUUUGUGGAACUUUCAGGCAUUUAAAAUGAUUGAUUGGAGACUUAUGUUACAGAAUGCCAUUGCAUUUCUUAAAUCUGUUUAAUGUUGUGUAUGUGUUUUAUAGUGUGUUUUAUUUGGAAUGAUUAUGUAGGGCUGUUGUGCUUUAUUUAUGUAUUGGGUUUGUUUGUAAAUGUAUACAAGGCUCUCUUGUAAAAUAGUAUUAUUUCAAUGUGACUGUUUAAAUAAAGGUUAAUAUAUGCA